GCGUCGCUGGUGCAACGGUUUAGCAUAUGCUCCCGGAAAGAGUAAGAUCUGAGUUCGUGACCCAGUUGACGCA